UAAGUCAGAUGUGAAAUCCCCGGGCUUAACCUGGGAACUGCAUCUGAAACUGUAGAGCUAGAGUAUGUGAGAGGAAGGUAGAAUUCCAGGUGUAGCGGUGAAAUGCGUAGAGAUCUGGAGGAAUACCGAUGGCGAAGGCAGCCUUCUGGCAUAAUACUGACACUGAGGCUCGAAAGCGUGGGUAGCAAACAGGAUUAGAUACCCUGGUAGUCCACGCCGUAAACGAUGUCUACUAGUCGUUGGGUCCCUUGAGGACUUAGUGACGCAGCUAACGCAAUAAGUAGACCGCCUGGGGAGUACGGCCGCAAGGUUAAAACUCAAAUGAAUUGACGGGGGCCCGCACAAGCGGUGGAGCAUGUGGUUUAAUUCGAUGCAACGCGAAGAACCUUACCUGGUCUUGACAUAUCUAGAAUCCUGCAGAGAUGCGGGAGUGCCUUCGGGAAUUAGAAUACAGGUGCUGCAUGGCUGUCGUCAGCUCGUGUCGUGAGAUGUUGGGUUAAGUCCCGCAACGAGCGCAACCCUUGUCCUUAGUUACCAGCGGGUUAAGCCGGGAACUCUAAGGAUACUGCCAGUGACAAACUGGAGGAAGGCGGGGACGACGUCAAGUCAUCAUGGCCCUUACGACCAGGGCUACACACGUGCUACAAUGGUAGGUACAGAGGGCAGCUACACAGCGAUGUGAUGCGAAUCUCAAAAAGCCUAUCGUAGUCCAGAUUGGAGUCUGCAACUCGACUCCAUGAAGUAGGAAUCGCUAGUAAUCGCGGAUCAGAAUGCCGCGGUGAAUACGUUCCCGGGCCUUGUACACACCGCCCGUCACACCAUGGGAGUUGAUUGCACCAGAAGUGGAUAGCUUAACCUUCG
rnacentral:rRNA from 1 species